ACCCGAUCUUGCAAGACCGCCAUUAAAAGUCUCGCUUCCGCUAUUCUUUGUGUCUCUGAGUACAUUGUUUGGGUUUGGACAGGUUGAACAAAUAGAAGUUUGGAAGAGGUCAUUAAUGGUCUUCAGAUAAUAACCCUUUCAACCAAUUGCCAAUCAGAAAAUCUCUGAAUCUGCCUAUGACCUAGAAGCUACCCUGCUUCCAGUUGUCCUGCCUUUAUGGACCAAAAUGCAUAGAACCAAGUUGUAACCUAACUACCUUGGGCUCUUGUUCUCAGGAUCUCCUGAAGGCUGUGUCAUGGGCCAUUGGUCACUCAUAUUUGGUUUGAAAUAAAUCUCUUCAAAUAUUUUAGACUGUUUUGGUUGACACAUUCUUGAAGACUAGACUUUUGUAAAUUUUCUCUAUUUUAAUGGCUACAUGGUUGAUUUCCCUUUGUUCUUCCCAACCUUGUGCAUCUGUGUUUUCUUUUUUUCUUCCUAAGGUCAGUAAUGUGGGUACUUUGUUGAUAUUUUUCAAUUUAUGAGGUUAUUUAUUGAAAUUUUUGUUGUACUGUUUUCUUUUACCAUUUCCAAAUUUUUGCUUUUAUCUUUUUUUAGUUUACUUUUUUCUAAAUUAAUUUCAUUUUUAUUUUAUUUUAUUAAUGUAAAUGAGGAAAUGGCAACUUUUUUUGUAAAGGAUCAAAUAGUCUAUAGCUUUGAUUUGGUGGGCCAUAUUCUUCCUACUGCAACUACUCAAUUCUGCCUUUGCAGUAGGAAAGCAGCCAUAGACAGUAUUUAAAUGAAUGGCAUGGCUGAGUUCAAAUAUAACUUUUCAAAACAAAUGGCAGGUUGAGUUUGGCCCACUGGCUGUGGCUUGAUGAUCCCUGGUAUGAGUUGUUAAAGCUAUGAAUUUUAUUUUGAGAACAGUUUUAAUUGUAUCCCAUAGAUUAUGAUAUGUAGUGAUUUCUUUGGUUUUAGAGAUUUUUGCAACAUCAGUGUAUUUUCCCUUUAACUCAAGCAUUAUAUAUUACAGUUUAUAACUUGGUCAGGUAAAAUGUACUUUUACAAAAUUUUAUUUCUAAUUUUAUUGCAUUACAGUUAGCAAAUGUUGUAUUAGUUCUACCUCAUGGAACUCAUUGAGAUUUUCUUUGUAAACGAAUAUAUAGUAAAAUAUCAUUCAUGUUCCAUAAAUGUUUGAAAAGACAAUGUAUUUUUUAUAACCAAGGAAUA
rnacentral:lncRNA from 10 species